UACGGGGGGGUAAGCGUUGUUCGGAAUUACUGGGCGUAAAGGGCUCGUAGGCGGCCAACUAAGUCAUACGUGAAAUCCCUCAGCUUAACUGGGGAACUGCGUGUGAUACUGGAUGGCUUGGAUUUGGGAGAGGGAUGUCGGAAUUCCAGGUGUAGCGGUGAAAUGCGUAGAUAUCUGGAGGAACACCGAUGGCGAAGGCGCAGUCCCUGGA
rnacentral:rRNA from 1 species